rnacentral:lncRNA from 1 species
CAUAACAAGUGUACAGAUGUUAGAUGUUGCUGUCUCAAUUGAAUCAUUGAGUCUUACUGUCCAAACUGCUCAGAGAAGCAGAGAGGAGUAGAGACAGUAGGCUUUUUGGAAGUUGGGCUGUAGUGUGCACUUUAGGAUGUUAGCAAUAUCCUCAGCAUCUACCUGCUAGAUGUGGGUAGCACCUCCCCACCCAUCAUGUGAUGAUCAAAAAUGUCAAAAAUCAAAAACUGAGACAUUGCCAAAUGCCCCUUGAAGGACAAAAUUAUCCUCAGUCGGGAACCACUGGUGUAAAUGAAUGAAGCCCA